UACGGAGGGUGCAAGCGUUAUCCGGAUUCACUGGGUUUAAAGGGUGCGUAGGAGGACAGGUAAGUCAGUGGUGAAAUCUCCGAGCUUAACUUGGAAACUGCCGUUGAUACUAUCUGCCUUGAAUAUUGUGGAGGCGAGCGGAAUAUGUCAUGUAGCGGUGAAAUGCUUAGAUAUGACAUAGAACACCAAUUGCGAAGGCAGCUCGCUACACAUAUAUUGACUCUGAGGCACGAAAGCGUGGGGAUCAAACAGG
rnacentral:rRNA from 1 species